GCAGUCGAACGCAGUAGCAAUACUGAGUGGCGAACGGGUGAGUAUAAUGUAGGUAUCUGCCUUUUGGUUUGGAAUAACACGAGGAAACUUGUGCUAAUACCGGAUAAGCCUUCACAGGGAAAGUUUUAACGCCAAAAGAUGAGCCUGCACUUGAUUAGCUAGUUGGUAAGGUAAUGGCUUACCAAGGCUACGAUCAAUAGCUGUUCUUAGAGGAAGAUCAGCCACAUUGGGACUGAGACACGGCCCAAACUCAUACGGGAGGCAGCAGUGGGGAAUCUUGCACAAUGGGGGAAACCCUGAUGCAGCGAUGCCGCGUGAGUGAAGAAGGCCCUUGGGUUGUAAAGCUCUUUCGUCGGGGAAGAUAAUGACUGUACCCGAAUAAGAAGGUCCGGCUAACUUCGUGCCAGCAGCCGCGGUAAUACGAAGGGACCUAGCGUAGUUCGGAAUUACUGGGCUUAAAGAGUUCGUAGGUGGUUAAAAAAGUUGGUGGUGAAAUCCCAGAGCUUAACUCUGGAACUGCCAUCAAAACUUUUUAGCUAGAGUAUGAUAGAGGAAAGCAGAAUUUCUAGUGUAGAGGUGAAAUUCGUAGAUAUUAGAAAGAAUACCGAUUGCGAGGGCAGCUUUCUGGAUCAUUACUGACACUGAGGAACGAAAGCAUGGGUAGCGAAGAGGAUUAGAUACCCUCGUAGUCCAUGCCCGUAAACGAUGUGUGUUAGACGUUGGAAAUUUAGUUUUCAGUGUCGCAGCAAAAGCGUUAAGCACACCGCCUG
rnacentral:rRNA from 1 species